rnacentral:rRNA from 1 species
CCUACGAUGUGCAGCAGUGGGGGAUAUUGCACAAUGGGGGGAACCCUGAUGCAGCGACGCCGCGUGGGUGAAGGAGCGUUUCGGCGCGUAAAGCCCUAUCGGCAGGGAAGAAGAUGACGGUCCCUGGCCAAGAAGCCCCGGCUAAAUACGUGCCAGCAGCCGCGGUAAUACGUAGGGGGCAAGCGUUAUCCGUGUUUACUGGGUGUAAAGGGGGCGCAGACGGCAAUUCAAGCCAGGAGGGACAGCCCGGGGCCCAACACCGGGACUGCUCUUGGAACUGCAUGGCUGGAGUACAGGAGGGGCAGGCGGAAUUCCUAGUGUAGCGGUGAAAUGCGUAGCUAUUAGGAGGAACACCGGUGGCGAAGGCGGCCUGCUGGACUUUGACUGACGUUGAGGCCCGAAGGCGUGGGGAGCAAACAGGAUUAGAUACCCUGGUAGUC